GACGAACGCUGGCGGCGUGCCUAAUACAUGCAAGUAGAACGCUGAAGGAGGAGCUUGCUUCUCUGGAUGAGUUGCGAACGGGUGAGUAACGCGUAGGUAACCUGCCUGGUAGCGGGGGAUAACUAUUGGAAACGAUAGCUAAUACCGCAUAAUAGUAGAUGUUGCAUGACAUUUGCUUAAAAGGUGCAAUUGCAUCACUACCAGAUGGACCUGCGUUGUAUUAGCUAGUUGGUGGGGUAACGGCUCACCAAGGCGACGAUACAUAGCCGACCUGAGAGGGUGAUCGGCCACACUGGGACUGAGACACGGCCCAGACUCCUACGGGAGGCAGCAGUAGGGAAUCUUCGGCAAUGGACGGAAGUCUGACCGAGCAACGCCGCGUGAGUGAAGAAGGUUUUCGGAUCGGAAAGCUCUGUUGUAAGAGAAGAACGAGUGUGAGAGUGGAAAGUUCACACUGUGACGGUAUCUUACCAGAAAGGGACGGCUAACUACGUG
rnacentral:rRNA from 1 species